rnacentral:rRNA from 1 species
AUUGAACGCUGGCGGCAGGCCUAACACAUGCAAGUCGAGCGGAUGAAGGGAGCUUGCUCCUGGAUUCAGCGGCGGACGGGUGAGUAAUGCCUAGGAAUCUGCCUGGUAGUGGGGGAUAACGUCCGGAAACGGGCGCUAAUACCGCAUACGUCCUGAGGGAGAAAGUGGGGGAGCUUCGGACCUCACGCUAUCAGAUGAGCCUAGGUCGGAUUAGCUAGUUGGUGGGGUAAAGGCCUACCAAGGCGACGAUCCGUAACUGGUCUGAGAGGAUGAUCAGUCACACUGGAACGGGGACACGGUCCAGACUCCUACGGGAGGCAGCAGUGUGGAAUAUUGGACAAUGGGCGAAAGCCUGAUCCAGCCAUGCCGCGUGUGUGAAGAAGGUCUUCGGAUUGUAAAGCACUUUAAGUUGGGAGGAAGGGCAGUAAGUUAAUACCUUGCUGUUUUGACGUUACCAACAGAAUAAGCACCGGCUAACUUCGUG